GCUUACGGCCACAAAGCCUGGUUCACGCACGAUCUCGUUUGAUCUCGGAAGCGAAGAUAGGUUGGGCCUGGUUAGUACUUGGAUGGGAGACCGCCUAGGAAUACCAGGUGCUGUAAGCC
rnacentral:rRNA from 1 species